GACGAACGCUGGCGGCGUGCCUAACACAUGCAAGUCGAACGGAAAGGCCCUGCUUUUGUGCGCUGCUCGAGGGGCGAACGGGUGAGUAACACGUGAGUAACCUGCCCUUCACUUUGGGGGAACUUCAGGAAACUGGGGCUAAUACCGGAUAGGAGCUCCUGCUGCAGGGUGGGGGUGGGAAAGUUUCGGCGGUUGUGGAUGGACUAGCGGCUUAUCGGCUUGCUGGUGGGGUAGUGGAAGACCAAGUCUUUGACGGGUAGCCGGCCUGAGAGGGUGACCGGCCUCCAUAGUCCUGAGGUACGGCGCAGACUGGUAUGUUAGGCAACGGUGGGGAGUGUUAUACAGUGGUCGGGCGCCUGUUACGACGGCGCCGCGUUCGUGAAGACGUCUUGCUGGUAGUGAACCGCAUCCGCUUGAGACGAAGCGUUAGUGACGGUACCGGGUGAAUAAGCACCGGCUAACUUCGUG
rnacentral:rRNA from 1 species